GUUAACGUAGCUUAAUUAAAAGCAUAACACUGAAGAUGUUAGGAUGGGCCCUAGAAAGCUCCGCAGACA
rnacentral:tRNA from 3 species